UUUUUCUUUUUUUGAGAGAUAGAUAGCACGCUACCCGCUUCGUUUAUUUCAUUUAGAAAUAAACUUAGCUGGAAAUGUGAAUCAACUAGGAUUCGAACUUGGGUCUCGGAUACCAACCAGUAAGUCAUUUCCCACUUGCUCUAGGGACGGUCGGUGUGCUAAUUACACGUUUGGUUCUCAAUCUAUGAGACGCGUGAUACUUUAGUUCUCGAACUUUAAUUCAUUAUAUUUUCUGGCUUGAACUAUGAGACACGUGACACAUUAUUUUUUUGAGAGAUAGGUAGCAUGCAGGUACUAUAUAUGAGACGCGUGACACUUUAUUUUUUGAGAGAUAGAUAGCAUGCUACUUGCUUCUUUUAUUUUAUUUAAAAAUAAACUUAACUGGAAAUAUAAAUCAACUAGGAUUCGAACCUUGGACCUCGAAUACCAACCACCAAACCUUUUGCUACUUACGCUGGGGACAAUCAGUAACACGCGACACUUUAGUUCUCGAACUUUAUAUAAUUAGAUGCAAAUUCUGGCUCAAACUAUAAGGCAUGUGACAUUUCAGUCAUCGAAUUUUUUGGAUUGUUGCGAUUAAGUCACACAACCCAUUUUUUUGAAUGAGUAUUGAUGAAUUACUAAUAUCGAAGUAAUAUAGUAUUUUAAUUAUUGUUGCAUUGUUAACUACGAUAUUAUUAUAAGUCAAAAAGUUUGAGGGCUAAGAUGCCACAUAUAUCAUAUUUCGAGCCAGAAAUUAUAACUAGUUAAUGUUCAAACAAUAAAGUGUCACACACCUCAUAGUUCAAGCCAAAAAUUACAACGAAUUAAAGUUCGAGAACUAAUGUGUCACAUGCCUCAUAGUUUGAGGACCGAAAGUGUAAU
rnacentral:lncRNA from 1 species